rnacentral:rRNA from 1 species
CCCUUAGAGUUUGAUCCUGGCUCAGAACGAACGCUGGCGGCGUGGAUAAGACAUGCAAGUCGAACGAGAGAAUUGCUAGCUUGCUAAUAAUUCUCUAGUGGCGCACGGGUGAGUAACACGUGAGUAACCUGCCCCCAAGAGUGGGAUAGCCCCGGGAAACUGGGAUUAAUACCGCAUAAAAUCGCAAGAUUAAAGCAGCAAUGCGCUUGGGGAUGGGCUCGCGUCCUAUUAGUUAGUUGGUGAGGUAACGGCUCACCAAGGCGAUGACGGGUAGCCGGUCUGAGAGGAUGUCCGGCCACACUGGAACUGAGACACGGUCCAGACACCUACGGGUGGCAGCAGUCGAGAAUCAUUCACAAUGGGGGAAACCCUGAUGGUGCGACGCCGCGUGGGAGAAUGAAGGUCUUCGGAUUGUAAACCCCUGUC